rnacentral:lncRNA from 1 species
AAACGCGUCACCAGUGUCACCAGUGUCGCCAGUGUCGCCGCGGCGGGGUCACGCUCAGUCCAGGGCUGGAGCGCAGACAUGAAGCACGUGUUCUCCAUUCCCGAGAUUCCCGGAGUCGUCUCGUUUUUACCAGGGGUUUCCUCUGGCAGAGACGCACAGUGUGGGUCCUUCGGGAGGCCACAGCCACCACCUCCCGCCUGGCAGCACAUCCACAUUCCCAAAUGCAUCCCGGCUCCCCCC